GGUGACAGGGUGUGGUCUGUGGGGGAGCAGCCGAACCCGGAGACGAGGGCAGACAGACCCACCAGGACAGAGGCGGCAGUGGGGAGCGUGCCUGCGUCGCUCGGUGCCGUGACAGCGGGGAGCGCCGCGCGGGGCCGGGUGGCGAGGGGAGUUUCCGUCCUCGCUCAAGUGGAGCCCGGCUCGGAGCUGCGCCAGCGCCUUCCGCCUGGGCCCGCGGUGCCAGACACCUGCCGAGUCCGAAGCGGGAGUCUGGCUGAGCCUUCGGCCGCCAAGAUCGCCAACCUGAGCAUAUGCCAGUUGACAUGGGAACACUGAGGACAGCAAUUUAAGGAUUUUCACAUUUGCCUGUGGUGAAUGCAGAGUCCUGGAUCUCUUGGCCACAGUUUGACAGCCUGGAAUCCUAAGGAAGACCAAGACUUCUAACAGUAAGGCAUGAGUCUUUUGCAGUUGUGCUUCCUCCGCAUGGGAUGAUACUACGAUUUGAUUUAAGCUUGAAUUUGGAAGGUUCAUUCUUCUCAGGGAAAUAUAUGUCAUCUCUGG
rnacentral:lncRNA from 1 species